ensembl:snRNA U7 U7 small nuclear RNA
UAGUGUUACAGCUCUUUUAGAAUUUGUCUAGUGGGGCUUUUGGUUUUUGUUGGAAAGUCCCCU